AGAGUUUGAUCCUGGCUCAGGACGAACGCUGGCGGCGCGCCUAACACAUGCAAGUCGAGCGAUGAACAUUGAAUGAUCCCUUCGGGGUGAUUUCGAUCGGAUUAGCGGCGAACGGGUGAGUAACGCGUGAGGAACCUGCCUCUUACAACGGGAUAGCCUCGGGAAACCGGGAUUAAUACCGUAUAAGACUCCGACAUCUCCUGAUGAUGAAGUCAAAGCGUUAGCGGUAAGAGAUGGCCUCGCGUCUGAUUAGCUUGUUGGCGGGGUAACGGCUCACCAAGGCGACGAUCAGUAACCGGCCUGAGAGGGUGAACGGUCACAUUGGAACUGAGACACGGUCCAAACUCCUACGGGAGGCAGCAGUGGGGAAUCUUGCACAAUGGGGGAAACCCUGAUGCAGCGACGCCGCGUGAGCGAUGAAGGUUUUCGAAUCGUAAAGCUCUGUCCUAUGGGAAGAUAAUGACGGUACCAUGGGAGGAAGCCCCGGCUAACUACGUGCCAGCAGCCGCGGUAAUACGUAGGGGGCGAGCGUUGUCCGGAAUUACUGGGCGUAAAGGGUUCGCAGGCGGCAUGGCAAGUCCGAUGUAAAAGGCGAAGGCUCAACCUUCGUAAGCAUCGGAAACUGUCAAGCUUGAGUGAAGGAGAGGCAAGUGGAAUUCCUAGUGUAGCGGUGGAAUGCGUAGAUAUUAGGAGGAAUACCGGUGGCGAAGGCGACUUGCUGGACUUCAACUGACGCUGAGGAACGAAAGCGUGGGUAGCAAACAGGAUUAGAUACCCUGGUAGUCCACGCUGUAAAC
rnacentral:rRNA from 1 species